UAAACACGUGUUUAUUUUAAUUUAAUUUUUUAAAAAUAAAUCUUUACCACUAAUAUGGGAUAACCUUAGCCCAAAGGAGAGAAUGCACAGUAACAAAAAUUAUCCAUGAGAAUGAACAACAAUGCUGUGCCUGUUGGAAAAACCCAAAUUUUGUGCUGCAACAUUUCCUUUUUAUAUCAAACCUUUCCACUGCUGCUAAAUUCCACCACACUCUGGCUCUGUUCAGCACAGUUAUUCUGUUGAAGGUGAAAUCUGAAUUUCAGGGCUACAGAAUGUGACAGCACAGAAAGUCAGGGGAAAUUCAGUCUGAAAAGAGAGCAGGGAUGCACAGGACAGGGAGAAUGGAAUUAAAAUCUGUUGGGAGCAGAGCAGAGCCUGACUUAAAUGAUCCAACACCUGCAAGUGGUGUGGAAACCAUUCAUAAAUUGGUUUAUUUGCAUUUACCUGAGCUCCCAAAGAGCAAAAAGUUUAAAUUAUCCAACACCUGCAAGUGUGGUGUGGAAACCAUUCAUAAAUUGGUUUAUUUUCAUUCACCUGAGCUCCCAAAGAGCAAAAAGUUUAAAUUAUCCAACACCUGCAAGUGUGGUGUGGAAACCAUUCAUAAAUUGGUUUAUUUCCAUUUACCUGAGCUCCCAAAGAGCAAAAAGGUUAAUUUAUCCAACACCUGCAAGUGUGGUGGUGAAAACCAUUCAUAAAUUGUUGUAUUUUCAUUUACCUGAUCUCCCAAAGAGCAAAAAGUUUAAAUUAUCCCAACACCUGCAAGUGUGGUGAAAACCAUUCAUAAAUUGGUUUAUUUGCAUUUACCUGAACUCCCAAAGAGCAAAAAGUUUAAAUUAUCCAACANUAUUGAGGUUUGAGUAUUUCAGUUAAUCAGCAAGAAGAUUUUGGCAUUGCUCCUAGAGACAAGCAGGUUCCUGCCUCUUUUUAAAUAAUAACCAAGUAGUUGUUUAUUGUAAAUAAUUGUUAUUUAAAUAAUAACCAAGCAGUUGUUUGUAAGAAUGGAAUGAAGUAAUUCCUGCUUUACCCAGAGUUUCAGAGAUUACAACAUCUGCCCCACUCAUGGAAAGGUGAUUGCACUGCAUGGAUUUCAGGGGCAGGCACACAAAUGUUUGUUCUGGGCUAAUUAAAUUACAUUUUAGCAACAAAAUGAGAAGAAUAAUUCAGUUAAACCAGGAGUCUCAGCAGGACACUUGAGUAUUGAUCAGCAGUGCAGUUAUUUAUUUGUGUCAAGAGAAAACCAUCUUUGUGUUGGCAUGAAUGCAGAAGGGCUUUGGUGCAAAUCCAGGAUGCAGAAGGAAAACACAAAAGGAAAGCACAAAAGGAAAGCAGAAAUGACAUUUCCAAAUAGCUCUGUGCCAUAAUUGUAAGAAAAUUCCUGUCAGCUAGAGGUGCUUCCCUUGAAAUGUGUGUGAGUUUAGAGUGUGACUGCAAGGAAAAUAAAAAUACACAGUGGGAAGUUCGGGCA
rnacentral:lncRNA from 1 species